rnacentral:rRNA from 1 species
GACGAACGCUGGCGGCGUGCUUAACACAUGCAAGUCGAACGGUGAACGAGGGAGCUUGCUCCCUCCGGAUCAGUGGCGAACGGGUGAGUAACACGUGAGCAAUCUGCCCCGCACUCUGGGAUAAGCGUUGGAAACGACGUCUAAUACCGGAUACGCCGCGGGAGGGCAUCCUCUCCGCGUGGGAAGAACUUCGGUUCGGGAUGAGCUCGCGGCCUAUCAGCUUGUUGGUGAGGUAACGGCUCACCAAGGCGACGACGGGUAGCCGGCCUGAGAGGGUGACCGGCCACACUGGGACUGAGACACGGCCCAGACUCCUACGGGAGGCAGCAGUGGGGAAUAUUGCACAAUGGGCGCAAGCCUGAUGCAGCAACGCCGCGUGAGGGACGACGGCCUUCGGGUUGUAAACCUCUUUUAGCAGGGAAGAAGCGAAAGUGACGGUACCUGCAGAAAAAGCACCGGCUAACUACGUG